UUUUGAGGUGAAGUUUCACUCUGUUGCUCACACUGGAGUGCAGUGAUGCAAUCUUGGCUCACUGUAUACACCCUUACUAGGUUCAAGCAAUUCUCCUGCCUCAGCAUCCCAAGUAGCUGGGACUACAGGAGUUCGGUGCAGAGUCUAGCACAAGGCACAUCUCCCUGCUGGAGAAGUAGGUGGGUGUUUUCACAGGAUGCACAUGGCUCGUCACCAACGACCCUGCUAUUAAGAAUCAAGAACACCAUCCACGGCUUCUGUUUUUACAAAAUAUUUAUUUGCAACUGGGAAAAAAAUGCAACAACUAUGAUGUCAGUGAGUGCAGUGACCCGGAUAUUUCAGGAGCCGAGUGAGGCCCGGAGAUGGCCACCUCUGAGAGCAGGUGAGGUCUUGCAUGCUACGGAAACUCAUCACUGCCAUCUGCACAAGGCGAAGGUCAAAUGUGCGUUUAUCCCACUGGUCAGACUUGCUCAAAGAUUCCCAUAGAAUAAAGCUUCCCCACUGUGCA
rnacentral:lncRNA from 13 species